UACGAAGGGGGGCUAGCGUUGCUCGGAAUCACUGGGCGUAAAGCGCACGUAGGCGGAUCUUUAAGUCAGGGGGUGAAAUCCUGGAGCUCAACUCCAGAACUGCCUUUGAUACUGGGGAUCUCGAGUCCGGGAGAGGUGAGUGGAACUCCGAGUGUAGAGGUGAAAUUCGUAGAUAUUCGGAAGAACACCAGUGGCGAAGGCGGCUCACUGGCCCGGUACUGACGCUGAGGUGCGAAAAGCGUGGGGGAGCAAAACAGG
rnacentral:rRNA from 1 species